UACGUAGGGGGCAAGCGUUGUCCGGAAUCAUUGGGCGUAAAGCGCGCGUAGGCGGCCCGAUAAGUCCGCUGUGAAAGUCCAGGGCUCAACCCUGGGAUGCCGGUGGAUACUGUCGGGCUCGAGUCCGGAAGAGGAGUGUGGAAUUCCUGGUGUAGCGGUGAAAUGCGCAGAUAUCAGGAGGAACACCAAUGGCGAAGGCAGCACUCUGGGACGUGACUGACGCUGAGACGCGAAAGCGUGGGGAGCAAACGGG
rnacentral:rRNA from 1 species